UGCUGCAUGGCUGUCGUCAGCUCGUGUCGUGAGAUGUUCGGUUAAGUCCGCUAACGAGCGCAACCCUCGCUGUGUGUUAUAUGUGUCACACGGGACUGCCGGGUCUUAAGCCGGAGGAAGUGGGGAUGAUGUCAAGUCAGCAUGGCCUUUAUAUCCUGGGCUACACACACGCUACAAUGGCCAACACAAUAGGUUGCUAAGCCGCGAGGUGGCGCCAAUCCAUAAAGUUGGUCUCAGUUCAGAUUGUAGGCUGCAACCCGCCUGCAUGAAGAUGGAGUUGCUAGUAACCGCAGGUCAGCUAUACUGCGGUGAAUACGUUCCCGGGGCUU
rnacentral:rRNA from 1 species